rfam:Cricetulus griseus cell line CHO-K1, whole genome shotgun sequence.
GCUCAGUGGUUAAGAGCACUGGCUGCUCUUCCAGAGGACCUGGGUUCAAUUCCCAG